UCAUGUAUGCUUUGAUCCGUAUGUUCUCCCAAUAAAUCUCUAACAGAGUAUUUGCCAUUAUUAUUAUUAUCUGUGGCGGUGAAAGUUGGCACGUUUUCAGGAAUAGAUCAGUAUGACAGGAACUAAUGUUGGUAAUUCAGGAGUUUUUGUCCCUUUUGACGUCAGAUGGGUAAAUAAUAGAGGAUGCUUAGUAAAAAUGUUCAUUGAUAUAACUUCAUAUGUAUAUAUACAUAGUCUACACUUCGUCGCAUUCUCGGCCUCCAGAGCUACCCACGUCAGCAAGAAAUUAUGGUCCGUCGGAUUGAGCAAUGGAUGGUUGGAUUGUUCAUUCCCCAACUUACUUGCUUUCCAGAGCUCUCGCGAACAUCGGCUUGGUUCCCCUUCACCCUCUGCUCUCACGAUCCCGGCGAGCGCGCCCGCAGCGGAGUCGCCCCGACCCCAUCCUGUCACGCGCGCCGGAUCCGGCUACCGUCCCAUCGAUUGCACCUGAGUCGGAGCCGCCCGCGCUGGAGUUGCCGCCAUCCGCGUCAGAGCCGCCCGCACCGGAGCCACCUGGCGUCAACGUCGUGCCUCCAGCUUUUGGAGACCCAACCACCACCGCUCCACUUGCGCCUCCAGCGUGGGUCAGUCGGACGAUCGUGCAACCGGCGCCGGAGAUCCCCUCUUCCCCAGGCCGGUUUCCUCUCUCUCUCUCUCUCUCUCUCUCACACACACACACACACACACUCUUUCUUUCUCUCUCUCUCUCCCUAUCUGUGCCGCAAGAAAACAACUCGGAUCGAAGGAUUGGGUCUUUCUUUUCCGUCGCAGCUCGAGUUGUGCCUCGAGCCAGCCAGUAGAUCUGUGAAGGUGUCGCCGCCGGAGAUCCCGUGUUCCCCACCCGGACUUCACUCCCUCCCUCUCUCACUUUCACUCUCUGCCGCAAGAAAACAAGGAUCGAAGCUCGCUGUGUAAUGCAUUAGUCUGCCGAUGAUCAGGCCGCGCGGUCGUCGUGGCUGUUUCUUCGCCCCUGCUCAUAGUGGCUCGUGCACCCUGUCCCGCUGACGAGCUCACGCUAGCCUCCGGAUGCGGUUUGUCGGACGGGGCAGAGGCCGCUAUCUGGUUGGUUGGGCGUAGUAAAUCUUAUUCAAUUAUCUACGUUGUCAUUAGUCUGGUAGAAUAUGAUCUUACAGAACUCAAGUAACUACCAGCAUAUGAGCUAAUGGAUGUAAAGCUUGUGUUGGUUUCUGUCAGCACUAUGUUUCCAGUGAGUCACUGAGAUGCAUGUUCAGUUCAGGCAUUCUGGGGCAGACCCUCGAAAUAAUCCAAAGAAAAAGUUUCUGCCGAGGAGGAAGUAACAAUCUACAAGAAAACAACUCAGAUGCAAGCUUGUUUGAGUAAUGGUACAUACAAGGACACUCCUGGCUAUCUUGGUUGGCUUCAUCACAUGGACUGAGCUUUGGGUUCAUUGCUCUGUUUGAAUAUGGAUGCAAAAUUACAGAACUCACGUGAGACAACAAGAUGAGAAAUUUGGAAGAGUUUGAAUAUACAAUUAUGAUGUUAGCAUGUAAUUCUAUCUUGGCGUUGAAGUUUCAAUUGGUUUUUCUUUCCUACCAUAAGAAGUGAAAACUCCUGCCUUUUGCUAUCGAUCAAAAUUAAUCUUGGAAAUGUUUCUUACAUUUCUAUAUACACUUUCAUUCUACAAAUACCGAACUUGGCAACAGUUCCUAAAAAUAACAUCUCCUUAUCUUUUCUAUAAUAUUAUCUUUACUUCAUGUGAAUGCACUAUCAAAUAAUAUAGUUGAGUACCAUCUUUACUUUAACUAAGACUUCCACUUGCAUAAUCUAUUUGUUUUGUGGAUCAGUCAACUAUAUAGUUUUUUUCACUGCCUAUACAGGUAAAUAUUAUCCACAUGUCCCUGUAACAUCUUAUUUUUCUGUUAAUUAAACAUGUGGAUAUUAGUCUAGAGCUCAAAAGGGUAAACUCCAUAAAAAGAUUCAAAAAAAUGUUGUCAUUUAUCUGAAAUAUUAUAAUACUUAACAUUAGACUGUUAUAGAAGCAUAUAGUCGCAAUCGCUACAGCUAUUCUUACUAUUUUCCUUUAGAUCUCAUUUAAAAAAUGUAAGCCAGUAGAUUUACAAGAUUAUCUAUCUGUAAUAGUUUCUCCUUCGAUGAUUCAGAUUACAAAAUGCUUAAUUAAACUGUGUUCCAUCAUGUUUUAUUUCAAUCACAGCAUGAACAUCUUCACUACCAUUUUACUUAUUUUUUUAUUUCCUUUUCUACCAUGUUGCUUAGACUAAAGAACAAACUGGUGGUCAUUUUUUACUAACACAAGAAUCUAAAGAGAAACACCUUCGGUUGGAACAGUACGUAUUUUAUCACAUCUAUGAUUGUUAGAGUCAUUCAAUGCAAUGAUAUAGAUUCAUGAGUAAUCAUGAUCCUGCAUUAGUAUGGCACUUUGGCAUAUAUAUUCAGCUACCUUUUUAAAUAUUAUUACUUUUGAAAAUACAUUAGACUACAUUUUUACUCACACAGGUUAUUAUAUUUGUUUAGUCCAACUACAACCUACAACACAAAUUGUGCAUACUAAAUCUAUUUCUAUAGGUUAUUCCAUUUGCAUUUACAAAGGACUUUAAUGGUACUGUGCCAAGGAUUAUUGAACUUCAUCCACAUGGCGGCCGUAUUUUCCAAGUGCAAAUAUCAAAGAACAUAGACACUUUAAUCCUACAUUCUGAAUAAAAAUCAUUUGUUCAAGCACAUGAGUUAGCCCACAUAGAUAUGCUUGUAUUUGAAUAUGACAAUGAUUCCCGUUUUAAAUUCACCACCCUUGAACAAACUGAAGAUGAGAAGAUACCACCAUAUCUUCUACCAAAAAUUCUAUCUCCCCAUCAUGGACAAUGCUCCAAACAAAGAGGUAACAUACUAUACAUAAAUAUUUUUCAUUGAGAUUAUAAAAAAAAUAUCAAUCUGACAAAUAUCAAUCAAAGUCAUGAAGAUGAUAACGACGCCAACUCAGCCACAUAGAAGGAAUCACUGCUAUGUUUCUGAAUUAUAAAUAUAUCAUUGCUAUUUCAUUACUUGGAACAUCACUACACCUGCCUAUAAUAUGACCAUAUUAUUUCACGUACUACAAUAUGAACUUACCAUUCAUGUUUAUGAUGUUCCCUAAUGUCAUUAUUAGGGAACAUUAGGGAACUCCUGUUCUUACUCUACCUGCUCACUAUUGUCUUGGUUGUAUGAUGUUCCCUAAUGUCAUUAUUGUUGGAACAGAUGUCCCUACGUGUGACACUUUUUUGGGGUAAAUUGUCUCUAUUGAUUCUGCUUGUCUCGAAUAUAGUAUAGCUCUAUUUAUAACCCGUACUCAACCACUCCAUGCAGGGUUUACAGUUUUUUUCCCCUUACCUGCUACAUUCUUGGAAUAUUCGGGGGCACUAUGGUACAAUCAAGCGUAUUUACAUAAUUACAACUCUACCCCGGGCAGUUAAAGUAGGCCCUGACGUCCAGUCACGGUCUUCGGUAGACCCCGAGAUUCCGCCGAAGGCUUCUCAGCUAUCAGCCGGAGUUCACCACGGGCUUCGCUUCCCCACUUCAGCGCCAUGAGUCGAUCUUCGGUCCCAGUCCGAAGACGCGCUGCUACCUUCGCCCAUUCCGGUUAGCAAAACUGCUGGUGUAGUCUUCGGCUUCCGACCGAAGGCCCGCUGUCGCCUUCAUCGACACGGGUAGCUGGGACCGCAGGCACACCUUUGGUCUUUGACCGAAGGUACUUCGUGAUCUUCGCCUGCACUCCCUGAAACACCCUUGUAAUCACCCGAAUGCGUAGCCUCCGGUAGACUUCUAGUAUCCUACGAAGGGGGAGGGCGAGAGAUCAUCCCCAACAGUAGCCCCCUACGGGUAAGGUUCAUCUUCAAUGGGCCGAACUUGUAGACUUCAAGAUGUGUCUCAAUGCCGUCCCCUUCGGCCCGUCAAAGGUUUACGGGGGCGGAUGCACUUCGGGAAAUUGCCGGAUGAAGUUUUUUUUUGGUAUGACCAUGCUGCCCCUGAGUAACUAUUUCGUUCACAUGCAUUAAAUGCCUUCGAUGUAUACCGAGACGUCAUUUCCCACUUCGAUUUGAAUUCCGACGCGCCUCGUUUUAACCGCCACCCUCUUUGCUAUAAAUACUGGUCCACAAUUGUUUCUUUUUACCGCGCGCCACUGCUCGAGCUACUGCUCUCAUAUGAAGCUCCUCACUCUCUCCACCGAGUCUUUCCCCGUCCAAGACUUUUCAGGUCAGCUCGCGCCGAAGGCUAGGUCUACUCGCCCAAAGACAUAUUGGAUUGGGCAGUCGAAGGUGGAUGAUGAAGUGCUGGUCAGUCUCGUGAAAGAGGGAUUGAUCAGCGACGUCUCAAAAGUUAGGCUCCCCGGGAACCAGGAGACACCGGAGCCUUCUAACGACGAAGCUGUUGUUUUCAUUGACUAUUUUCGAGCAGGCCUUCACUUGCCCUGCGAUGACAUGGUUGCCAAGGUGCUGAAAUUAUUCGAAGUGUACCUGCACCAGCUUACACACAACGCCAUUGUGAGGCUGGGGCUAUUUGCCUGGUCUGCUCGGUCUGAGGGAGCAAAAGCAUCGGUCAGGGCCUUCGCUGCUGCUCACGGGCUUCAUCAUCAGCCAAAGCCAGUGUUCGCCCGGAGGGUCCAGAGCGAGGCGCAUUAUGGGUGCCUAAACUUCGCUUACCGCGCUGGGUUGUCCACGCCUGCCAUCGUGUACAAAAAUAAAUGGCCGAAGGACUAGAUGCAGUGGUGGUUCUACCACAAAGUAGAUCAACAGGAAUUUCUUGUUUUGAAAUGCGAGGAGGUGAAGGGGAAUCGUGCUCCGGACGUGCAAUUGAAAGCGUCCCAGCGGACUGCUCUCGAGGCCUUCGCCAGGUGUGCAAAGUAUUUAUCCACUCGGGACCUCGUAGAGGAGUUUAUAGCCGUCGGAGUGUGUCCCUUUAGCCGGGACUGGAGCAUCCCGAAGUUUGGGGAGAAAGGGCCUGAGGGGCUCUGCCGUCCCCAUCCUUCCGUGCACGGCUUCACGGGUACACAUUCAUUUACUAUUAUUAAUGUUUCUGGAUUUAACUUCGCUGUCAUUUGCUUACGUUUCCUGAUCUUCGCCAGACUUGUCGGUGUUUGAAGUCGAAACAAAAGCUACAAUGCUUGUUCGGAAGUUUACGCUGGGCGAAGCCCAGUUGUGUGCUGAACAAGGUCUUGGCCGAAGGCUCAAUCGAGUCUUGGAAUACAGGGGCCUUUCCUACUGAGAGAGGUUGAAGAUUAGUGCGCUCUUGCAGGGUCUUGGAGAGGGCUCCCUGGCGGAAGUCAUCAGUGAAGAGGUUCCCACUGGCGCCUCGAAAAAGCGAAGACAGCCCGAACACUCGCCGCGAGGAGGCCGGAAGAAGAAGGCAUUGACCCUUCGGAAAAGGCCGCGCGAGGUUGCCACCGAGGACGCUCGCGAAGAGGCAUCUCCAGAGGGUGCGGUUGCACCACGCGCCGUGCCUUUAAGGCAAGAGGUGCCGGAGGGCACCCAGGAAUCCCGUCCCUCUCUGAAAUUGGGGUUCUGCUCUUGCGUGGACCUUCCCACGCUAAUCCUAUGCGAUGACGAGGAGGACCUUGCAGAGACACGAACUAUCGUCGAGACUACUGCCAGGGAAGCCGAGGUCGAAGGGGGUGACAAUACUGAAGCUGCAGCCUACUCUUCACCCUCAUCGUCCUUGAGCUCAUCCUCUGGUACUGAGGAAUCGACUCCCAGUGCGCCUCACCAUGGUGGGAAAGGGCUGAUGAGCCACGGCGGGCUGAUUGACGCGAAGGCCAUCGAGCCUGAGGCGUUCAAGGUUUUUUCCUUUGAACCAAGCUCUGGGGAGGUCAAUGAUGCGAAGAAGAUUUUUAGUACCUUUGUCCUGCCCGAGCUUGAGAUUUCACUCGCCCGUAAGCCUGUCGCCGAACUUCUCGACGCCUCCGACAUGGCAAUUAUGAAGGUAUAUUAGUGUGUUCUAUUAUGUUUGUAUUUCCUUGUCAUUUUAUUACUCGCUCUCAUAUUUGCGCGGCAUCCCAGGCUAUGCUCAUCUCGCGGGCUCAACGCAGACAGGCGGAAAAUUACAAAGCCCGCGCCCGAAACGCGGAGGUGCAAAUAGAUAUGCUGCAAAAGCGUGCUGAAAGAGCCGAAGGACUCAAACACGAACUUGCGCGUAGAGCAAGGGAAGACGAGUCACGCUUGAAGCAACUCGAGAAGGAACCUAGCGCCCUAUGCUCGGAGAAACAGGGCGCUGAAGAGGAGGUCAAGUGCUUGCGCCAAAACUUGCAAUUAUCCGAAGCGUAAGUCUCUGACCUGCCAGUGCUUUGCACCGCAGACACCGCUAAAGCACAGCGGUUACAAGAAGAGCUGAACGAGAUGAGGGCUCUGUCCGAAGAUGCCUUAACUGCGCUUUGGGAGCUGGAGCCGAAGGCCGUCGCCGCAUGCGAAGCCAUCAGCAGCACCUUUGAAGGAAUCAGUGCUUCGGCCACGCCCCCAGCACUCGAUAUUGUCGGGCUGGGCGGUCUUAUAAGUUGGAUUAAUGAAACCAGCUGGAGCCUUCUCCCAGCAGCUCAGUUAUAUGGCGACUUCUGCGCGAUGGUCUCAGCCCGAAGCCUUGUCCAAUCAAUUGAGAUGACAGGCUGGGACCAUCACACUGCACUCCAGAAGCACACCUUCCGAUACCCAACGAACAUGUCUACUUCGGCCGUGUCGAGGGUCGAAGGCCACUGCCCGAUCGUUCACUAUCAAUUAUUGGUGCAGACACGGUCGGGAUCUCACGCUCCGGGAGGCAGAGAUGAAUCACCAACCAGUACGUUUCUUCAUACUACCAGUUUUGUUUAAUUUUUCUAAUCGUGUGCGCUUUGAAGAAAUAUUUCUCUUGCAGGCGAAGGCGACGGACGAUCCUUUGGCUAAGGCUACGACCGCGACGGCUGAAGAGACUGGGAAGGUCCCCCCUUCAGACACUGCGCAGGUAGCCGAAGAGGCUGUUCCCAUUACUAUGAUGAGGGAUAAUUUUUUUAGUCUUGGUCUUGCUGGGACUCCUUUCACUGCCACCAUCCAGAUAUUGAGUUCGAGCGGUAUUGGGAAGCGAAGUGUAGAGCAUACGAUGCGAUGAAUAAUAGGACCAAAGCAUUUUGGAAAUCUUUUAGCCCUUCGGCUUUGGUUACCCGCAGAGCUGAGCGCAACUCGCGCCGAAUUGCCCGCGGAGACGUCAAACCUUCACCUACGCUCAUUGAACCGAAGGUCGAGCCCGAAGACGACGACGGACUCCCGCCUCGCCAGCCUCAGCUUUGCUACUGCUGUGGGCCCUCUUCGCAGCUGGUUCAACACACCGAAGGUGAGGGCCCCCUUCAUGCAUCUCCGUCGGCUUCG